ACACACAUCAGUUUAUUUCCUGUUUUCACCUUAAACCAGCCUUUCCCGAACUGUGUGGGAACCCUGCUGCCCCUAGUGGUCCGGAGGGUACUGCAUGUAAAACCACCGUUUAUUUGCCGACACGUGAGCUCGAAGUGCGACGCUACAGUUAGCUUAGCUAAAAAGAAUAAUGGAUACGUGGCUUAAAACCGGGUGACUCUAAAGAAAAACUGAGCAUACCAGAGGAAAGAUAACAACGUCAAGACUAUUUAUAUCAGAGGACGCCGAGUCAGACCUACUUAGAGUAUUGAGUCGUUCGCAAGCGACUCGAUUCUUUUCAACGGCUCUAUGUCGUGAACGGUUCCAGUCUCAGCUGCUGCUGUCACCUCGGAGCAAGUGGAAGUGGUCUGGGUAGAGCAGCUUGAAGCCAAACAGGGUGAGAAUGACCUCAACAGAGAAGGAGCCUCGGUCCACAAAGUCGCCAUUGAAGAGCUGGAAGCUGUGGUUAAGCGCCAUAAUAAGAAAGUAAGCAUGGUGCAGCAUAUUUUGUGCUAUAACGGCCUGCCAUACAGCGCAGAGGGAGGCGGUGGGAGGAAGGAAAACACAACAAGGCCGGCUGGGAUCGAGCUGACGUCCCAGCCUCGGUAAACGCAGACAGUGAGUGGGUGAGACGGUGUGGGAGGGGGAUUGGCAGAGGAAAUCUGGCU